rnacentral:rRNA from 1 species
UACGUAGGGUGCAAGCGUUAAUCGGAAUUACUGGGCGUAAAGCGCACGUAGGCGGAUCGUUAAGUCGGGGGUGAAAUCCUGGAGCUCAACUCCAGAACUGCCUUCGAUACUGGCGAUCUUGAGUCCGGAAGAGGUGAGUGGAACUCCUAGUGUAGAGGUGGAAUUCGUAGAUAUUAGGAAGAACACCAGUGGCGAAGGCGGCUCACUGGUCCGGUACUGACGCUGAGGUGCGAAAGCGUGGGGAGCGAACAGG